rnacentral:rRNA from 1 species
GACCAGGGUACACACGGGGUACAAUGGCAUAUACAAAGGGAAGGGCCUCGCGAGAGCAAGCGGACCUCGUAAAGUAUGUCGUAGUCCGGAUUGGAGUCUGCAACUUGACUCCAUGAAGUCGGAAUCGCUAGUAAUCGUAGAUCAGAAUGCUACGGUGAAUACGUUCCCGGGCCUUGUACACACCGCCCGUCACACCAUGGGAGUGGGUUGCAAAAGAAGUAGGUAGCUAACAUCUGGAGGGCGCUACUCACAUUGAGGUUG